rnacentral:tRNA from 1 species
GGCGCCGUGGCAGAGCGGUCUAAUGCGAUAGACUAGAAAUUCUCGAAUUCCUUGUUAUCUAUUCUCUUCGGAGGCCCAUGUUCGAAUCAUGGCGGCGUCG